rnacentral:rRNA from 1 species
UACGGGGGGAGCAAGCGUUGUUCGGAUUUACUGGGCGUAAAGGGCGCGUAGGCGGCCAGCGCAAGUCAGUUGUGAAAUCUCCGAGCUUAACUCGGAAAGGUCAACUGAUACUGCGCGGCUAGAGUGCAGAAGGGGCAACUGGAAUUCUCGGUGUAGCGGUGAAAUGCGUAGAUAUCGAGAGGAACACCUGCGGCGAAGGCGGCCUGCUGGGCUGUUGCUGACGCUGAGACUCGAAAGCGUGGGGAGCAAACAGG